rnacentral:rRNA from 1 species
AACCUCGGAUCAGGCAGGGAUACCCGCUGAACUUAA